AUUAUAGUAGGAAUCUAAAUCCAUGGUGUAAAAAAAAGGAAAAAAAAAACCUUAAUUUCAAAAUUUAUGAAAUUUCUUCUUUUUUGGGGACUUCUGUUAUAAGAUGAAGAUGAUACUCAGAUAUUAGUGGAUGUGGGUGUAUGAGGAGUAAGCGGAGAAGACGGGCAGAGGAGGCAGCGCGAAGUAAAUCGGGGCGUCGGAGAGAGAGACAAAAUGGAGAGCCAGGCUGGAGACUUGGAG
rnacentral:lncRNA from 1 species